UCAAAUAUAAAGGGUGUUGACUAGAACACACACUGGUUUUAGAAGUGGUAAAAAUAUCAGUUAAAAACUUCACUGUAGAUACUUUUAUAAUGUAAUGUGUGCUUUUAUUAAUAAUCAUUGGUAAAAUAGAAGUCUUGUGUAAUGGUUCACAUGACUUUUUGUUAUGAAUGAAAAAUAACAACAGAAGGUACAUGUAUAUUAUAUGACAAACACAAAUAUAAUACGAACACUGCUUUUAGAUCACGGCAAAUGUAAUGCAUAAUCCAUUACAGUCUGACUGGCAAACACAUUAUAAGAUUCAACUAAUGUUGAAAAAGGUCUCAGAUCCGUUCCAGAUGUGGGUAUGUCUAGACCAUUAUGCGGGUCCUAGAUCAACCAACAUUACAAUUUCUAUAAUUGGUCAAUUAAAUAGCGUUAAUAGGUAGAAAAUCUGUGUAGUUUGAAUAUGAUUGGUCAUAAUGAUGAAAACAAAUGGGUGUUAUCUACAGUUGUUCCUCUGUGUUGUAUAUUGGUCAAAUGCGGACAUGUAGUGAAAUACUUUAAAUAUGUGACUUCCAUAGUAUUUCCUUUUCUCUCUUAUCACACUUAUCCAUCAUUGUACUCAUUGUAUCAAAUACAUCAGUAAUAAACUACAUGUAUACUAAUCUAGUAUAUGCUGUUUGAAAAAAGGUUCCAUAUGAAAACAAAGAUCCAAACAGAUGCUUUUUCACACACAACCAAUGCACAAGGAACCAAGCCAAACUGGGUACCAAGUCAUACUGCAACUGCAACGCUGGAAAAGUAUGCAACAACACACUGCUUGCAUCAUGAAGUUAUUCCAAAUAUAAACAGCUAAAUAAAGGGCAGACUCACUACAGUUGGUGAAUGGGAAAGAUUUGCUUUGGGAAAACAAUCUGGCAUUUAAUGUUAUGCAAGUUUUAACUGCUGUCUAUUGUAUAUCUACUAAAGUAUUUCCUUUUCCUAUAUAUAGUUAGAUUUACUGGUGUAUAUGUAUAUUAACUAGUGUGUAUUGGAUAUUGACUGAAGUAUACUAUAUAUUUCAUUUACUAUCUGAAAAUAGGACUGGUGUUUUCUAAUUUGCAGUAUAUUGUAUACAUACAUGUAUAUUGUUCCAUAUUUGUGACACCUACUGACCACUAUUUAUUUCUUAUUCCAAUAUAUACACUUUUCUUAUUCCAAUGUAAACUUUUAUGUACGCCACACUGACAAUUAAACAUGUGAAUUCACAACAUCACACCACAAAUAAAUCCAUGAAAAAUGAAUUUAAUUUGCAGAGUUUCUGUACUUUAUCAAAAGUGACUGACAGCCAAAAAUUUGAAGUCUAAACCCUGGUCAGUAUUGAACAAAAAAGCAAUUAUGAGGAAACUACCCGUUCCGAUAAAUGUCUCCAUUUAAAUAGCACAUCUGACAGAAAAACAUAUUCCUAUGAAAUAAUAAAUUCUUCUCUUUUUUUAAAGAAUUUAUUGUAUGUUUUGAAUUUUAAUUCCUUUUUUAUACUUAGUACUUACAUGUCAAAACUGUCUGUUAUUACUGCUGGCAUUCUUGAC